UUAAUAUUGAGGUUUUGGUUCAGAGAAGUGGAUAUUGAGGAUCAUGGCUGGAUAUAUUUAAUAUUAAGGAAAUAU